GACGAACGCUGGCGGCGUGCUUAACACAUGCAAGUCGAACGGAAAGGCCCUGCUUUUGUGUGGUGCUCGCGUGGCGCACGGGUGAGUAACCCGUGAGUAACCUGCCCUUGACUUUGGGAUAACUUCAGGAAACUGGGGCUAAUACCGGAUAGGAGCUCCUGCUGCAUGGUGGGGGUUGGAAAGUUUCGGCGGUUGUGGAUGGACUCGCGGCUUAUCAGCUUGUUGGUGGGGUAGUGGCUUACCAAGGCUUUGACGGGUAGCCGGCCUGAGAGGGUGACCAGCCACAUUGGGACUGAGAUACGGCCCAGACUCCUACGGGAGGCAGCAGGGGGGAAUAUUGCACAAUGGGCGGAAGCCUGAUGCAGCAACGCCGCGUGCGGGAUGACGGCCUUGGGGUUGUAAACCGCUGUCGCCUGUGACGAAGCGUGAGUGACGGUAAUGGGUAAAGAAGCACCGGCUAACUACGUG
rnacentral:rRNA from 1 species